rnacentral:rRNA from 1 species
UACAGAGGGUGCAAGCGUUGUUCGGAAUUAUUGGGCGUAAAGCGCGUGUAGGCGGCUUUGCAAGUCGGGUGUGAAAGCCCUCAGCUUAACUGAGGAAGUGCGCCCGAAACUGCAGAGCUUGAGUACCGGAGAGGAUGGUGGAAUUCCCCAAGUAGAGGUGAAAUUCGUAGAUAUGGGGAGGAACACCGGUGGCGAAGGCGACCAUCUGGACGGAUACUGACGCUGAGGCGCGAAAGCGUGGGGAGCAAACAGG